rnacentral:lncRNA from 1 species
AAUUUUAAUUACCACCGGGGCUUCCGGAACCGGAUCCGCCGGUUCAUCGGAAUGGUCAAAACAUCACCCCCGUCAACCCGUCCGCCACCCGCAACCCGGUCAACGUCAGCUUCGUCCAUACGCGGAGUGGCCAACUCCUCGACCGUACUGGCCUCUUCGGCGGCCGCAGCGGCCUUCCGCCCUUUACGGCGAGACAUUUUCCGUAGGUCUACACCCGAACAUGCGACGUGGGACUGCAUGAAUCUUCAGCUGCUGCCGGAAGGGUGUAUUCCGAAAUUACCGAAUUACUGAAUCAUUUUUUAUUUCUCUUAACUAGGCUUAUAAACAUAUUUUGUGUUUGUAAGAAGAGCCAGAAAGCAGUAAAAGAUAAAAUAGGAAUUUAAGCGGGCGAUUUGGAUUUGAUUCCAUUUGACCUUUCUGAUAAGUGGCUGUGAGUUCGAUCCGCGAACUCAAUUGGAGUGUACCCAAGGUCGGAUCUGGAACGUGCUGAGGAGGGCAUUUUUUUUUGAACAUCCUAUAGAUAAUAAAUGUCCUUUUUGUAGUAAAAUUGUAACUAAAUUUUCAUAUGCCUCUCAUGUCAAGGAAUUUCCUUCAGGAAAAUGUUUAAUAACCCAUACAUGUGAAACAUGUUUAAAACCUUUAAAAAAGUUCUCUUAAAACACACAAAUGCAAACAUGUAAACUUUACUAAUGUUACCUGUCCUUAUUGUGGAAAGGUUUUUUAUCGCCGAUCUACUCUUAGUUUACAUAUAAGAAAAAAUGUUUGUAUGUCUACUUGCUUCACAUGUAAAAAUAUUUGUAAAAGUUGUACUUUAAAAAAGGAAUAUUCACACAUUAUUUUCCAAAAGAUGGAUGAGUUUGAUGUAAGAUUAGUUACGAAAGACAUUGUAAAAGUUUAUAAUGAGGAUAGCAUUCUUUUUUUUAAUGUUAAAAGUCAAGACAGCACGUUGAUGUUCCACUCGUCCCGCACGAUGUGGACCAGGUUAAGCAGCCGAAUGACGCCCUCGCGGAAGGGUUUGCUGUCGUCCGUCUGGAACGAGUGAUCGUAGAUGGUUCCGAUGUAGGACCGAUAGACGGCGAACAUUUCGUUCAGAUUGUCGGCAGCACUUUCCGGACGUUCUUCAAAUGAUGCAGCAUUAGAAACUCCUCCUUGUAGAUCAUCGUCACAAAGUGGUUCGCGGCCUGCCGCUUCGUCUCCAUUAGAUUCUUAAUUGCCCCAAACAGGACAUGUUCCAGCGGAAGCAUUAGCUGGCCGGAAAUCAAAUUCAGACGCGUGUACAGCGAGUGGGCAUUCGUAAGCCAGUUAGGCGAGGGUGCGGACAGGAGUUGACACUCUUCUCCGUCAUCGCCGUCGUCGUCGGCGCAGGCUGCAGCGAACUGUCCAGCGCCAUCAUGAGCAGCUCGUCGUCGCAAAUCUCGCGAAUCUGGUUGCGCAGAUUCUGCAGCUUCGACGCGCUAUUAUUUGUUUGCUUGUUUUUGUUUGAAUUGUUUAAUGUUUUUCUCGUUUCAUGAGCUGUUUCUUGUUUGGAGCGUUUUUAGCAAUUGCAGAUGACGAUUUAUGACGAUUGAUGACGAUGAUGAUUAAAUGCGAUGAAUAUUGAAUGGAUUAGUAAAGUGCCGAAUUUCUGGACUGGACUGGACGAUACUGACGGAGAGGCCUUUGACUGGAGAUUUGUUAUUAUGAAUGAAAUGUAUUUUAUUUCUGUAUUCCAUUUUUGCAUUGUAUGAAAUAAAUGUAUGAAAA